rnacentral:rRNA from 1 species
GAUGAACGCUGGCGGCGUGCCUAAUACAUGCAAGUCGAGCGAACAGACGAGGAGCUUGCUCCUCUGACGUUAGCGGCGGACGGGUGAGUAACACGUGGAUAACCUACCUAUAAGACUGGGAUAACUUCGGGAAACCGGAUCUAAUACCGGAUAAUAUAUUGAACCGCAUGGUUCAAUAGUGAAAGACGGUUUUGCUGUCACUUAUAGAUGGAUCCGCGCCGCAUUAGCUAGUUGGUAAGGUAACGGCUUACCAAGGCGACGAUGCGUAGCCGGCCUGAGAGGGUGAUCGGCCACACUGGAACUGAGACACGGUCCAGACUCCUACGGGAGGCAGCAGUAGGGAAUCUUCCGCAAUGGGCGAAAGCCUGACGGAGCAACGCCGCGUGAGUGAUGAAGGUCUUCGGAUCGUAAAACUCUGUUAUUAGGGAAGAACAAAUGUGUAAGUAACUAUGCACGUGUUGACGGUACCUAAUCAGAAAGCCACGGCUAACUACGUG